AAAACAUGGUAUUAACGCCGAAACCGAUGGAAUAAAUGUUAACGAUCAAUCUGUAAAUGGAUCAACGAAAUCUAGUAGUUCAGCAAACGUUGAUGGUCUACAAGAUGCUGAUGCAGGGAUAACAACGGUACGUAUUGACACAAACACUGCUCUGGAUUCGAACAAUGACGGGGAUAUUAACACUAAUCGAGCUAUAUUACCUACUACGAAAUACGAAACGCUUGAUAUACUUAACGCUAAAGAAAAACAGAUUGGUGAUCCCUUAACUGCAAGCAGAGAAGAUAAUUAUGAUGGGGUUAUCGACAAACGUAAUCUUUAUUCUAAAUUUACAACAGAAAGUAAGCAGUUUUAAAAGCGCAUUUAUGUAUAAUUAUCGAUUUAGUAUGAUAUAGGAAUGUUAAUUGAUCU